rnacentral:rRNA from 1 species
UAACGUAGGGGGCAAGCGUUGUCCGGAAUCAUUGGGCGUAAAGAGCGUGUAGGCGGCCCGGUAAGUCCGCUGUAAAAAGUCAAAGGCUCAACCCUUUGAAUGUCAGUGGAUACUGCCGGGCUAGAGUCCGGAAGAGGCGAGUGGAACUCCUGGUGUAGCGGUGGAAUGACGCAGAUAUCAGGAGGAACACCAAUUGCGAAGGCAGCUCGCUGGGACGUACUGACGCUGAGACGACGAAGCGUGGGGGGAGCAAACAGG